GAUGAACGCUGGCGGCGUGCCUAAUACAUGCAAGUCGAGCGGACGGACGAGAAGCUUGUUUCUCUGAUGUUAGCGGCGGACGGGUGAGUAACACGUGGAUAACCUACCUAUAAGACUGGGAUAACUUCGGGAAACCGGAGCUAAUACCGGAUAAUCUUUUGAACCGCAUGGUUCAAAAGUGAAAGACGGUCUUGCUGUCAGUUAUAGAUGGAUCCGCGCUGCAUUAGCUAGUUGGGAAGGUAAAGGCUUAUCACGGCAACGAUGCCUAGCCGACCUGAGGGGGGGAUCGGCCACACGAGAACGGACACACGGUCCAUGCGCCUGCGAGAGGCAGCAGUAGGGAAUCUUCCGCAGUAGUGGAAAGCCUGACGGAGCAGCGCCGCGUGAGAUAUGAAGGUCUUCGGAUCGUAAAACUCUGUUAUUAGGUAAGAACAUAUGUGUAAGUAACUGUGCACAGCUUGACGGUACCUAAUCAGAAAGCCACGGCUAACUACGUG
rnacentral:rRNA from 1 species